GUUUAAUGGUUUUAUAGGUAGAUAUGACUAGUUUAAUGGUUUUAUAGGUAGAUGUGACUAGUUUAAUGGUUUUAUAGGUAGAUAUAACUAGUUUAAUGGUUUUAUAGGUAGAUAUGACUAGUUUAAUGGUUUUAUAGGUAGAUAUGACUAGUUUAAUGGUUUUAUAGGUAGAUGUGACUAGUUUAAUGGUUUUAUAGGUAGAUAUGACCAGUUUAAUGGUUUUAUAGGUAGAUAUGACUAGUUUAAUGGUUUUAUAGGUAGAUAUGACUAGUUUAAUGGUUUUAUAGGUAGAUGUGACUAGUUUAAUGGUUUUAUAGGUAGAUGUGACUAGUUUAAU